GUGUCAGCCGCCGCGGUAAUACGAAGGGGGCUAGCGUUGUUCGGAAUUACUGGGCGUAAAGCGCACGUAGGCGGAUUGUUAAGUUAGGGGUGAAAUCCCAGGGCUCAACCCUGGAACUGCCUUUAAUACUGGCAAUCUCGAGUCCGAGAGAGGUGAGUGGAAUUCCGAGUGUAGAGGUGAAAUUCGUAGAUAUUCGGAGGAACACCAGUGGCGAAGGCGGCUCACUGGCUCGGUACUGACGCUGAGGUGCGAAAGCGUGGGGAGCAAACAGGAUUAGAAACCCCCGUAGUCC
rnacentral:rRNA from 1 species